AACGCACGAGACCUGCGGACCUGCGGAGGGAUCAUUAGUGAACGCCCUCACGGGCUUAUAACUAUUCCAAACCUCUGUGAACCGUGCCCUUCGGGGCUAUUUUGCAAACAUGGUGUAAUGAACGUCAUAUAUCAUAACAAAACAAAACUUUUAGCAACGGAUCUCU
rnacentral:misc_RNA from 1 species